CUGUAGUGCAGUCCUUCCCUCUCCACCCUGCCUGACAUCCAUCUGUACACCGUCCUGUAUCCCGGGGACAGGUGCUCCCAUCUCCCUGGCACAUCCGGGUACUGCAGGUUUUG